UAAAUUUCAACCAAUUGAAAAUCUAGAAAUUAUGCCCAAAGGACCUCAAAUACACACCUGACUUCCUGGAAAGUCAUCACUAACCCACCGCUCCCAUGAGCGUAAUAAUGUUCAUUCCAAAAAUCUUGUGUGGCAUCCAAACUCCCAUUACAACUCAAGUGCAUAAUGCCACACCCCCGGACGGUGAUAAAAACGUCGGGUUGUGCGAAUUAUUCAUGGAUUGCAAUCAUUGUAUAAAUUGAAAGGCACAUAAAUAAAAACAUAAAAUAUAAUCUUUUAUUAAUAGGGAAUAGAAAUUAUAUUGUCUUUGUUCUACGAGUACAUCAUUACAUAAAACUCAAAAUACGAUACAUGCCUUAACAGAUAAGCAAUUAUAAAAUACAGUGUAGUGAUAGGUAAACAAAAGUUCCAUAGGUAUCCAGUGUGUGUGUGUGUACCAGAUAAGCAAUUAUAAAAUACAGUGUAGUGAUAGGUAAACAAAAGUUCCAUAGGUAUCCAGUGUGUGUGUGUGUACCAGAUAAGCAAUUAUAAAAUACAGUGUAGUGAUAGGUAAACAAAAGUUCCAUGGGUAUCCCGUGUGUGUACUUCUAGCUCUUACGUUCUUGAGAAUACAUGCGUUUUAAAAAUACGUCAACAUAAAGUUUUUUAGUUCACAAGGUUUUGACUAUCUGUACUUUUAUAAGAAAAGUAUGUUUAUACAAUAUAUAGUUGUUUUUCCAGAUUAUAUAAAAAUGUACUUUUUAUAACCAAAAAGUAUGUGUUUAUAGUGUAUAAGAGCUCCCCUGACUUAUAUGUAAUCGUACUUGUAAACUGUACAAGUAUGUGUGCCGUGUACAAGUACUACCUGACUUAUAAGUAAUCGUACUUGUAAACCGUACACAUUUGUUUGUUGUGUAUAAGUGUUUACGUAUAUAAAAGUAUGAGUUGUAUCACAACAAAAGUUUGUGUAAUUCGUAUAUAAGUGUUUAUGAAACUUAUAUAAAAUAUAGAUCCUUGUAAAUCGUACAAGUAUGUGUUUGGUCUACAUAGAAGUAAUAUUUUCAACUCAUAUGAGUGCUUUUAGAGUGUACUACGUGUUACAAUGAGUCUAUAACCGAGCUAUAUGACGUGUUUCGGCCACUGUUUGGCACCAGCAUGGUGCACCUUGUGUUACCGUAGUGUGAUGAAAACUCUCGUGACGGUUCAUCAACAUCGUAAAAAAUGUGGAUAGUUAACACCCAUUGUGACUCGUAGGGGUGUUAACCCAUAUAGGUCUAUAAAUAACGUUCCUCCCUUGCUUAUGAUUAACGGUUGUAGAUAAUAGGUCUUUACUAAGUUUUACACUUAGUUUGAUGAAUAAAUCUCAUGUAAAUCCACCGAGUUUAAACAGUUCUAAAAGUGAAUCUGUACCUUAGCUUUAAGUGUCAAGGUACUUAGGCAAAAAGGUUGACCGUGUGUAAAAAAUGUAUAAAGAUUCCAACAAAGAUCAGGCAACAUAAUGGCUGUAAACCGAGUAAAAUCAUGCUUUAACCAAUGUAAAACCAAAAAUCCAAAUAUGUGUACGUAUAUAGUCUCAAAAAGACGUGCAUAUCAGUUUAAAUAAUUAUUUUCUAAAUAAACGGAUGUAUAACAUUUUAAAAUUAUAUAAACCAUAAAUAAUCAAUUUAUGUUUAUAUAAACUAUAAAUAGUUGACAUAUUGCAAACAUUCUCCCCCAAAAACAUUUUAAAAGUUUAAAAGAGGGACCGUGAAACUCACUUUCGUUGCGUGCUUUUAACCAUUUCGUCUUUUUGUUGAGAAUCGAGUUUUUCGUCAAAAAUCACAUAGAGAACACUUCCUUUAACGAAAGGUUGCAAGAGGGUUGUAGAUCAAGUCGAAUCUGAAAAAUUAAAAUUGGUCGGCGUCGGAGUUUGCCGAAAAAUCUCGUCGUAAUCUCGCCCGAACGGCACCGGUGUGGCGAUGAUAGUGGCUAUCGGCAAUGAAAGCAACUUUUCGACGCUGUUGGAAGUUGUUGCUUCACCGGUGGCAGGUUGAAAGGUCUCAUCAGAGGCUGAUCGGUGCAAAAAUAGCGGCAGAGGAGCAGUUUCCUACGGUGGCUAGCGGUGGCGGUAAUCGGAGAAGAGGGUCGAGAGGGAGAGAGACUGGUAGAUACAGAGAGAG
rnacentral:lncRNA from 1 species